rnacentral:lncRNA from 1 species
UGCUAAAAUUCAGAGCACUCUGGCCCAACUCUGAGAAAGCAGCUGUCAAAGGAAUUAAUCAAACAGAAAGGAAGCAAUUUGUACAAAAAUAUUUACAUCGGCUCUAUUUUACAAAGAGAAAAUAUGGAAAACAACUUAAGACCACAGAUUUGGAAAUCACUGCGGAAUACUGCGAAGGCAUUGCAAAAGCAAUUUUGGUUCAAAUUGGCGAGUUGUUUUUUAGUGUUUCGGAUUAGAGUUGCGGAAAAGUAGACCAAAC